CAUAGCAAUGAAAAGAGCAAUUAUCCGGGAAUACCAAUGCAGGACAAUUAAAAAUUAUAGCCUUUGCUCGUUUCAUUUUCAAAUUCGGUCGGCGUAAAUAACGGUUAAUUUGCCUUCUGAUGUAUGCGGUUUUAAGUGGGGGACGAUCGAAGAGGGCUUUUACCACGGUCUGAAACAGUUGGUCGCUAUAUAGUUCCGGUACUUGGUUGUCGGACUUUGAAAUUAGAAGUAUAAUCUUUUAACGCCGUUGGCACGCAACGCGGGAGACUUAUCCCCUGACAAAAGUUGAACGGAGAGCGUUACAUAAUUACAAUCUUUAUGCCUGUUUCAACAGAGGACGGGGAUUUAUACAGGGGAAUAUAUUUCGAGUAUAUAUUCGUAGAAAAAUUUCUCGAACGUUAAUGGUUCGCGUUGAUGAAUAUUCGUGGCCACGAAAAAAUUUACGUUCCAAUUA